rnacentral:pre_miRNA from 1 species
UCUUAAGAAUGAAAAAAAAAACUAGUUCAUUGAGAUGCAAUCUACUCCUGGUGAAGAUGCUAUGAC